CACGCAGGUGGCUGAGUCAGUCGAUUGUGAAAGCCCUGGGCUUAACCUGGGAAUUGCAGUCGAUACUACUCAGCUAGAGUAUGGGAGAGGGUAGUGGAAUUCCCGGUGUAGCGGUGAAAUGCGUAGAUAUCGGGAGGAACAUCAGUGGCGAAGGCGGCUACCUGGCCCAAUACUGACACUCAGGUGCGACAGCGUGGGGAGCAAACA
rnacentral:rRNA from 1 species